rnacentral:rRNA from 1 species
UACGUAGGCAGCAAGCGUUGUUCGGAGUUACUGGGCGUAAAGGGUGUGUAGGCGGUUGUUUAAGUUUGGUGUGAAAUCUCCCGGCUCAACUGGGAGGGUGCGCCGAAUACUGAAUGACUAGAGUGCGGGAGAGGAAAGUGGAAUUCCUGGUGUAGCGGUGAAAUGCGUAGAGAUCAGCAGGAACACCCGUGGCGAAGGCGGCCCCCUGGGCCGUACCUGACGCUGAGGCGCGAAGGCUAGGGGAGCGAACGGG